AUGAGAAACUAUGUUGAACCUCCUAGCUCUUCAUCAUUGGAAAAACGAGUGAAAGAGAAAGCUCAGAAAAAGAAAGGUAGCCGAAUUGAGGGGAAGAAACCAAUCGAAGAACCUAAGGAGAUUGAGAAUGUUAAUAAAGUUGAGGAGAAUAAGGCUGAGCAGAUAUUUGAGAGCAAGGAUGAAGAAGGAGCUGAAGACAAGAAGCCAGAGAACAAGGCAGUAGUGGAGGAGAAAAUCGUGAGCAUACAGGACGAAGAGCCUAAGAAGACUGUAAAGUUGGUUUAUGGAGAGGACAUAAGAUGGGCUCAGUUGCCAGUUAAUCGUAGUCUCUUGCAGGUGAGAGAAGUGGUACGUGAUCGCUUCCCGAGCUCCAGAGCUGUUCUUGUAAAGUACAGAGACCAAGAAGGUGACUCGGUCACAAUUACUACUGAUGAAGAACUAAGGUGGGCUGAGGCAUCCACAGAACCACAGGGUUCUAUCAGACUGUACGUCGUCCCAGUGAAUCCUGACCAGGAUCCAUUUCACGCGAGACUUUCAGACAAGGAUGACGAUCAUGACAUUAUUAUCAAGAACAAUGGAAUUCAGGAGAAUGGGCACGUGUUCAAAGCCGAUGAAGCAGGAAAGAAGCCAACUUGCAUUGAUGACUGGAUAAUUAAUUUUGCUCCACUUUUCAAGAAUUAUGUUGGCUUAGAUUCUGAUGAAUACUUGGAUCUUCAUGAACUUGGUAUGAAGCUUUAUUCUGAAGCAAUGGAGGAAACUAUCACUAGCGAUGAGGCUCAAGGCAUUUUCACAAUAGCUGCCGAGAAGUUUCAAGAGAUGGCAGCUCUAGCUUUGUUCAACUGGGGUAAUGUCCACAUGUCAAGGGCAAGAAAAGGUGUGCACUUACCAGAGGAUGCUUCAGAGGAUUCCUUGCUCGAGCAGAUAAAAAUUGCAUAUGAUCGGGCAUUAAAAGAGUAUACAAGCGCAGGGAAGAGAUUUGAAUAAGCAUUGAAGAUUAAACCAGAUUUCUAUGAAGGAUAUCUAGCCCUAGGGCAGCAACAGUUUGAGCGGGCUAAACUUUCUUGGUAUUAUGCACUAGGCAGCAAAGCUGACUUGGAAACAUGGCCUUCUUCUGAGAUUCUCCAGCUCUAUAACUACGCUGAGGACAACAUGGAAAAAGGCAUGCAGAUGUGGGAAGAAUGGGAAGAGCAACGCCUGAAGGAUCUCUCAAAUCCAAAUACCAGUAAAGUUCAGUUGCAACAAUUAGGGUUGGAUGGAUCGUUCAAUGAAAUGACAGCAAAUGAAGCUGCUGAUCAGGCUGCAAACAUGAGAUCUCAGAUCAAUCUAUUAUGGGGUAGCAUGUUGUAUGAGUGUUCCAUCGUAGAAUUCAAAUUAGCAUUACCUGUCUGGCAUGAAUGUUUGGAAGUUGCGGUCGAGAAGUUUGAACUUGCUGGAGCUUCUCCAACGGAUAUAGCGGUUAUGGUAAAGAACCAUUGUUCAAACAAUGGUGCAAUAGAAGGUUUAGGAUUUAAAAUUGAUGAGAUUGUACAAGCAUGGAAUGAGAUGUAUGAAGCUAAAAAGUUACGGAGUGGUGUUCCGUCAUUCCGGGUGUUUUUGCUUGUGGUCCAUUCAUUGCCUUUCAUCCGUGGAAUGGUUGUGCCGGAGUUGGAGUUCGGGUUUUCAACCGUCAACGCAAUGACUUCCCACAUAUUUAUUGGGGAGAAGAAGCAGGGAUCUCCAUUUAGGAUACUUCCCUGCUCGCCAUUCUCUCGACCACUCUUUCUAAUAACUCUCUACUUCUUCUUCCGCCACCUCCGCUGCCGGCAAGCCCACAAGCUGCCGCCGGGUCCACAGCCGUUGCCCAUCAUCGGGAACCUCCACCAGCUGGGCAAUCUUCCCCACCGCCGCCUCCACAGUCUUGCCAAGUCCCACGGCCCCAUCAUGUUCCUCCGCCUCGGCAACAAGCCAACGGUGGUAGUCUCGUCGCCGGAGGCGGCCGAGUUGGUCCUUAGGACCUAUGACGGCAUCUUCUCAAGCCGCCCAAGCGUGGACGUUCUGCGCCACUUGUCUUACGGCAACAAGGGGAUGCUGGCGGAGAGCGGUACGUACUGGCGGGGCGUGAGGAAGCUGUGCACACUGCAGCUGCUGAGCCCAGCGAAGGUGGAGUCUUUUGCACCGAUGAGGAGGGAGGAGCUGGGAAGGGUGGUCAGGAGGGUGAGGGCAGCGGCGGCAGUAUGUGAGGCGGUGGACGUGAGGGCGGAGUUGGGGCAGCUGACUGGGGACUUGGCAUGCCGGAUGAUAUUGGGGUAUAGCACGAGGGAUAAGUUCAACUUGAAGCCUGGGAUUAGCUAG